rnacentral:misc_RNA from 1 species
GAUGAAGAACGUAGCGAAAUGCGAUAAGUAAUGUGAAUUGCAGAAUUCAGUGAAUCAUCGAAUCUUUGAACGCACAUUGCGCCCGCCAGUAUUCUGGCGGGCAUGCCUGUUCGAGCGUCAUUUCAACCAUCAAGCCCUGCUUGCGUUGGGGUCCUGCGGCUGCCCGCAGGCCCUGAAAACCAGUGGCGGGCUCGCUAGUCACACCGAGCGCAGUAAUACAUCUCGCUUUGGGCGUGCGGCGGGUUCUUGCCGUUAAACACCCCCUUUUUACCAAGGUUGACCUCGGAUCAGGUAGAAAUACCCGCUGAACUUAAGCAUAUCAAUAAGCGGAGGA